GUUUUUUUUUUGUUUCUAGAAGAUCCUCCACAUAUUUGUCGAUCCCCUUCGCCCGCGCUCCCGAAAAACAGAAGCGAAGCGCGCGGGAAGAGGCGGGCAGCGGCGGCGGGAAGCAGGCCUCGACGGCGGCGCAGGUCAGCCUCCCCAUCUUCCUUCUCUCCGCCCGCCCCCCGCCUUUCUCCCUCUCCGCGGCGUUACGCGUCGCCCCAUCUGGCCCUCGCGGCGGCGGCCCCCAUCUGGGAUGCGGCUCGGCAACCACGACCAGAGAGCCUAUGCCGGCCGCUGCCUCGCGCCACUCAUGGCGACCGCCGCGUCGCCCUCUCACCAACCACGGCCGGGACCCCAUGGCUCCCCUUGCCCCUGUGGCCGGCACCCCCAUGGCGGCUGCUAUUGUACAAGCGCUGUUUUUCUUUGUAUAUGUGCCGCUGUUUGUAUAAGUGCUGUUGUUGUGUUCUUGAUGUAUAUAACCAUUCAUAAAUAAAUUCACAUGUUGCAUAGAAGUUAGUUUUAAACAUUUCAUCAAAGUACAAUGUUCAUCCUAUUCCGAACUGAGUCUCUCAUGUGAAUUCCAAGUGUCAGUUCUUGAACAUCCAAACACCAGAGUUCAGUUUCAGUUUCAAUAUCAAAUUAUCAAUGUCUGGGAGAUUUGAUAUUGGGACAAAUUCACUUUCAAUAUCAAAAUCCGAACGGAGCCUUAGAAUGUUACUCCACAUGAGAAUAUGGAAAACCAAAUUUGUUGAGUGAGUUGGACUUUCUCUCAUUGGCACAGUGCAAAUUGUUCCUGCAUGCAGGGUUGGGAAUAGUGAUCUGUCCCACUUGGUGAAAUGCCUUGUUACUACGACGUUGAUGACAUCCUCAUGGAGGAGGAGGUAACCAUGCUCGUGUUACCCUCUGCUUCAUUUAUGCUUGUACAAAUGACAUGAAUACUCUGCUGUAAUUGCAGCUUAUUUCGGUUGUUUUCCAAGUGACUGCAAAUGGUGUUGGAAUGCUAGAUCCUGGCGCUGAGAGAAACAGUGUAAGCAUCUUUCCAACGGCUUUUGUGCAUUUUAUGUUUAUCUGCUAUGUUAAACCUGCUGAUGGGCAUCUGCUGCUAAUUCUUUAUCUGGUCUGUUUGGUCUUGAGCAAAUUACUUCUCACAUGCGCUGACUAGUUAGAUGAUGUUUAUCUGAGAUAGAUGCAUCGUGCAUUCUUGCUCAUUUUAGUUUGCAAAUCCGAUAUGGAACGCUAGGUGCUUUCUUUAUUUCCCUGCGUGCCAUGUUUCUUGGUGAACACUACCUUGGAGUUAGAUGCUUUGUUUUUGAGCACCUUUUCUUGCUACCAUGGAAAAUGAAAUGGCGUAUUUUGCCUGGUUCCAAUGAAAAGAGAAAUGAUCUUAUUCUUUAUGUUCAGGUUGAAAAGGGUGCCAAGGUAGACCUUCCAUUUUGGCUUGCUCAUGGGAUGCUGUCUCUGGAACAAGCGGUGUCGAUAAACGUACCUCCUUGCUUCACCCAGAAGUAGGUCUCUUUGUAUUCUGUUUUGCAUCUGUAGAAAUUCUUAAGAGGGACAUCAAAAUAUACUGUAUGCAGUAGUAUGUAGCUAUGUUUUUAAGGCGACGCCUUACCGCCUUAGGGAGGGGGGGCGCUUUGGCGCCUAGGCGACGCCUAGGCGGGCGCUUUGGACGCCUAGGCGCCCAAAGCGGUCGAUUUUCCAAAGCGGAGGGGGAGCGCUUCGACGCCUAGGCGUCGCCUAGGCGUCGCCUUAGGGACGCUUUAAAAACAUAGGUAUGUAGUUGUCGUUCUCAUUUCAACAUAUUUAGACGUACUUUACUUGCAGAACUCGGAAGGAGAUCCAAGCUGAUGCAGCCUGUGUUGAUUUGAGGGUUCGGUGCCCUUACUUUUAUGAGCUAGGAUGCAAGAUUGUUCCUCUGUAAGUUCUGAACGACCUCAGUUACACGUAAUAUUUUAUUUCCUUUUUCUUCCAUCUCAUUACCUUUUUCUAUGCAAUCUUAAAUUUGCAAAUUCUCAUUAAAAUGCUUCUGUAUCAUAUUCGGUAGAAAUACAUUACCCACUCCAUUGCUUUGCAGAACUUUGAUGAGCCUUAGACAUCUUAUAGUCUCAGUUACAAUAACCGGGCAAUUGUGUAGGCAUACAGGAUACAGCACUACAGUACAUUAUCCUUUCUGCAUGUAUUCUGUUUUUGUAAAACUUGGAAUGCUUCCAUCUCCAUGAGCAAGAUAGUUUCAGUCAUCAGUCAUAUAUUAAGUUAAAAUAGGAGGAACUUCUGUAAGUUCAAGUAGCUGUAAUCUUGGGGAGAAGAUGCAUAUGAAUUGUGUAUAGGCAAGUUGAUUUCUUGUGAACAGAAAUGCAAUCAUAUGGUUUUCUUUUCUGAGAGCCCAGACUAAAACAUGCUUUUAACCACACUCGCAGUGUAUCUCCCAUCUCAGUUUAGCCAAACUAUGUUCAAACUGGUGUUCUACUGUUCUAAUUUCGCAUUUUAGCAAGCCCCUCUGUCCACUCCAACAAAUGAUUUAAUAUGUCAUAAGGAGACAUGCCUUCUUGCUUUAGUUUUUUAUAGUGUCAGUUUUGAUCCUAACAAGAUUCAAAUGAACCGCACCUUCUUAAAAUUCGAUUGAUUGCUGCUGUUGGUCCUCUUCUUUCAUUUUAAGAAGGUAUUAUAUGGUCGCGUUGAAAUGAUCAAAUAUAUUCCCUGCUGACUACAACUGUUGCCGAGACCAAACUAUCAUUCUAGGAAAUUUAAUCAUACACCUGACAAAUGACCUCUGAUGCCACCAGGUCAUUUUGUGCUUGUAACACGUGUUGAUUCUGUGUUUGACAUAUGGUGAUAUGAACAGAAUACACCAUAACUAAGUCUUCCUGAAUAAAUAAGUUAUGAUUAUUUGAGGUCUGUCCCUUUUCAAAGGCAUACUCUGGACUCUGCACUUAAAUGACAAGAGCUGGCUGCAAUUGUCGUAAUCUGAACAAUUCAGACAUAGAUCUCAAUGGUCUUUUGCCUUCAAUUUUAGUGCUCACUAGAACAGAAAUAGGGAAAUGUUUAGUAGCCACCUGUAGCACAUGUUGUGAGCAACUGUGUGAACUUGUAGAGGUACCACUUGACAAUGAAUUGGUUAUACUCUUGAGUGAUCCUAAUUGGGGUUUGAGUUUCUUAUGAUGGUUCAUGUGAUUUGGUUGAAAAGGUGUAACUAUUCUCAGAUUAGAUAAGAUCUAUGUCAAUUACAGUGCCAAUGUGUCAUUCCAUGGCAUGCAUUAUGUGACACAUUCUUUUGUGGUCGGUUUAGAGGUCUGAAUAUCCUUGUCAAAUUGGCCCAAUCCAUCUGGUUACUGUUCACAAUCAGUUCGAAGACCCCUGCAGUUACUGCUGUAGUCACAUAUUCGUCAGUUCUGUGAAAUAUUGUUAUGUGUUGCCUUUGUAGUCUGUAUACUGAAGUUAGGGAUCCCAUGAAGUUAUUGUGUAGUGAUGUCUGGUCACCUUAUAUAUUACUCCCUCCAUUUCUAAUACAUUUCACUGUAGCAUUUUUGCUCCUUAAUGCAUAUCAUUUUACUAUUUUGAGGCAACUACCAUUUUCCCCUUUUGUCCAUUUUCAAAGCCAUUUAUUAGUAUAGACUAGACUGUGUGACUAGCACAAAACUCCGAAAGGUAAUAAGUGGUGUAGUAGAGGGGGAAUUCGAUCUUUAACCCCACUUUUGCUGGUACUAUGAUAAUUCGUUCUUACAUCGUAAUGGGUUAUUUCCCCACCUUUCUUUGCAUUUGAUCUUUUGCCCUCUAGCAGCCUGCACCCACAUUCAGUAGUGAAUUAGGAGUAGGACUGGAGAACAUCUGCGUAUCAGAUUUCAGAAUUCAGCCCUCUAGCAGCCUGCACCCACAGUCAGCAGUGAACUAGGAGUAGGACUGGAGAAAUGUUUCUGCAUAUCAGAUUUCAGAUUUCAGAACAGACCACGUCUGACAUGGACUAGGAGUAGGAAUUCAGAAUUCAGGACAUGGUUCCAUCUAUAUUUAAUGCUGUUGGCCUGAUAAGUCAAGUUGAAGAUGUCCGACUGAGAACCAAGUGUUGACUUGUAAAUUAGUCGAGUCUCUUAAUCAUUGGGAUGAGAUAUGGUGCACGUGUACAGGAAUGGAUCCAGUAAUGAGUAGGAAUGUCUGAACAGGGUCGAAUGCGCCCUUAGGUGUCUAGACGCUUAACCAGAGUAUUGGCACACAUAGUUGAUGUAUUGGAAAAUUUCAGAUAACCGAAUGACUAAAAAUUGAGACUGAAUCAUGACUGCUGCUCAAUUUUUUAUUUGAGUUACUAUAAUGGUCAGACUAAAUUAUAUCCCUCACUGAUUUAUUAUGUUUGCAUCGACAGGGUGGGUGACAAGAGCAUCGGCCAGUUCUUGCGCUACGCGUUCACCAGCAGGUACAAGGAGGUACUAAGCAAGGCACACAGCUCUUCGACGAUGACAGUGCCCAAGUUCGCAACACGACUUACAAAAGAGGAGGCUCAAGGUACAGACAUCUCCCUCGUGCGCUCACUCAUUCCCCCAUUUGUUUUCUCUUACCAUACCAACUACUCUAACUCGGGUUAACUUUUUUCUUUUUCUGCCGUGUGAAGUGUUUGAAUCUGCUAGGGAGUCGAUAUCCGCCUUCAGGAAGUGGCGCGUCGGGGGUGCGAGACUGCAGAAGGCGUCCAUUCUUGGAAGGAAGAGGAAGACAAAGCUGCCUGAUGGGCCUUCGACGCCCUGAACUGUGUACUGCGCAGCAGCGGAGUCGGAGUGCCUGGGCAGGAGAUGGCCGAUGUAUGCACACUGAUUGAUCCGUGAUCAGCAGCCAUCCAUGCAUUUCAAUCUGGUGCACCUGAUGUGUCUGUCGUCUGAAACUCUGACUUCAACUCUUGUUUUUAGAUGCUUGUCUUACUGCAACUCUCGAGGAGGCUUUGCUUGUUAGUACAAAUCAUUGCAAAACAUCAUGUGCGCUCAUGUCUCCGUUCAUGCGACCAAAUGGAAUUAGCCAAAGAGCAGAAUAACUUGUGGCAUCUCUUGCAAUGACCGGUUGUUACUUCUCUGCAGAUAAACUUUGUGAGAGGAAAAGCAAAAAGCAGAACAACUUUUGGGGGGUUAAUGUAAAAUGAAUUUAGGGGGCAUGCCUGAAGCGGUACUGUAUUGCAAAGCUUCAUUUGUUUAAAAGAUCCAUGGGAGAUUAAAUUUGGAUGAUUAAAUUGUCUUUGGGAGGUUAAUGUAAAAAAAAAACUUUGGGUUGUUAAAAUUGCCAACUGGAAUGCAAACUGAGUGUGUCCAGUGCUCAACUUUGGACCACACCGGCGACCCAGCCUGCCGCCGCAGCCAGUGCUCAACUUUGUCCUGUGCUCUGUGCGCCUAUGUGGUAGGCUGGUACCUGGUAGCCACCGUCGUUUACUCGUAUCAAUUCAUCAGUUACAGACCUACAGACCACAGUACAGGUGCAGCCAAAUAACUUGCUGGAUCCCGUAUCACCUUAUUUAUGACGAAAAUAAACAGCACAACCAGGUUAAGAAAUCUUGACAUCUCAAAAAUUGCCAUAUCAGAUCAAAUAUAUUGCCAUUUAUGUUUGACGAUUAUACGCCAGAAGCCAUCUUCUUCUUCUUCUUCUUCUACAGACAGAAGAAGCACAUCUGUCCUCUAAGCUGAAAGCCCAUAAUAACUAGAGCCUAAUCAAAUAAUCUUCCCUAAGAUCCUAAACAGCAACAGGAGCUCAG
rnacentral:lncRNA from 1 species